AUUGAACGCUGGCGGCAGGCCUAACACAUGCAAGUCGAGCGGAUGAAGGGAGCUUGCUCCUGGUUUCAGCGGCGGACGGGUGAGUAAUGCCUAGGAAUCUGCCUGGUAUUGGGGGAUAACGUCCGGAAACGGGCGCUAAUACCGCAUACGUCCUGAGGGAGAAAUUGGGGGAUCUUCGGACCUCACGCUAUCAGAUGAGCCUAGGUCGGAUUAGCUAGUUGGUGGGGUAAAGGCCUACCAAGGCGACGAUCCGUAACUGGUCUGAGAGGAUGAUCAGUCACACUGGAACUGAGACACGGUCCAGACUCCUACGGGAGGCAGCAGUGGGGAAUAUUGGACUAUGGGCGAAAGCCUGAUCCAGCCAUGCCGCGUGUGUGAAGAAGGUCUUCGGAUUGUAAAGCACUUUAAGUUGGGAGGAAGGGCAGUAAGUUAAUACCUUGCUGUUUUGACGUUACCAACAGAAUAAGCACCGGCUAACUUCGUG
rnacentral:rRNA from 1 species